AAUGAACGCUGGCGGUAGGCCUAACACAUGCAAGUCGAACGACAGCACAGUAAGAGCUUGCUCUUGCGGGUGGCACGUGGCGGACGGGUGACGAAUACAUCGGAAUCUACUUUUUCGGGGGGGCUAACGUCGGAAAACUUCCGCUAAUCACGGAUUCAUCCUCCUUGUGUAAGCAGGCGAUCUUCUGGCCUUUCGCUAGUGAAUAAGCCGAUGUCGGAUUCGCUAGUUGGCGGGGUAAAGGCCCACCAAGGCCACGAUCCGAAGCUGGUAUGAGAGGAUGAUCCGCUACACUGGAAGUGAGGCACGGUCCAGACUCCUACGGGAGGCAGCAGUGGGGAAUAUUGGACGAUGGGGGCAAGCCUGAUACAGCCAUACCGCGUGAGUGAAGAAGGCCUUCUGGUUGGAAAGCGCUUUUGGUGGGAAAGAAAAGCAGCAGGUUAAUACCCCGCGGUUCUGACGGUACCCAAAGAAUAAGCACCGGCUAACUUCGUG
rnacentral:rRNA from 1 species